rnacentral:rRNA from 1 species
CGUCAAGUCAUCAUGGCCCUUACGGCCUGGGCUACACACGUGCUACAAUGGAACGCACAGAGGGCAGCAAACCCGCGAGGGGGAGCGAAUCCCACAAAACGUUUCGUAGUCCGGAUCGGAGUCUGCAACUCGACUCCGUGAAGUCGGAAUCGCUAGUAAUCGUGAAUCAGAAUGUCACGGUGAAUACGUUCCCGGGCCUUGUACACACCGCCCGUCA